rnacentral:rRNA from 1 species
AUUGAACGCUGGCGGCAGGCCUAACACAUGCAAGUCGAGCGGAUGAAGGGAGCUUGCUCCUGGAUUCAGCGGCGGACGGGUGAGUAAUGCCUAUGAAUCUGCCUGGUCGUGGGGGAUAACGUCCGGAAACGGGCGCUAAUACCGCAUACGUCCUGAGGUAGCCAGUGGGGGAUCUUCGGACCUCUCGCUAUCAGAUGAGCCUAGGUCGGAUUAGCUAGUUGGUGGGGUAAAGGCCUACCAAGGCGACUAUCCGUAACUGGUCUGAGAGGAUGAUCAGUCAGACGGGCACUGAGACACGGCACAGACUCCGAAGGGAGGACGCAGUGGGGAAUAUUAGACGAUGGGGGAAAGCCUGAUCCAGCCGUGCCGCGUGUGUGAAGAAGGUCUUCGGAUUGGAAAGCAAUUUAAGUUGGGAGGAAGGGAAGUAAGUUAAUACCUUGCUGUAUUGACGUUACCAACAGAAUAAGCACCGGCUAACUUCGUG